rnacentral:rRNA from 1 species
AACGAACGCUGGCGGCAUGCCUAACACAUGCAAGUCGAACGAGACCUUCGGGCCUAGUGGCGCACGGGUGCGUAACGCGGGGGAACCUGCCCUUAGGUUCGGCAUAACUCCCCGAAAGGGGUGCUAAUACCGGAUAAUGUCUUCGGACCAAAGAUUUAUCGCCUUUGGAUGGGCCGGCGUUGGAUUAGCUAGUUGGUAGGGUAAAAGCCUACCACGGCGACGAUCCAUAGCUGGUCUGAGAGGAUGAUCAGCCACACUGGGACUGGGACACGGCCCAGACUCUUACGGGAGGCAGCAGUGGGGAAUAUUGGACAAUGGGCGAUAGCCUGAUCCAGCAAUGCCGCGUGAGUGAUGAAGGCCUUAGGGUUGUAAAGCUCUUUUACCCGGGAUGAUAAUGACAGUACCGGGAGAAUAAGCGCCGGCUAACUCCGUG